UCUGGUUGAUCCUGCCAGAGGCCACUGCUAUCCGGCUGGGACUAAGCCAUGCGAGUCUAGGGGCUUGUUGUCCUUCGGGGAUGCAAGCACCGGCGGACGGCUCAGUAACACGUGGACAACCUGCCCUCGGGUGGGGGAUAACCCCGGGAAACUGGGGCUAAUACCCCAUAGGGGAUGGGUACUGGAAUGUCCCAUCUCCCGAAAGCGCUCCAGCGCCCGAGGAUGGGUCUGCGGCGGAUUAGGUUGUUGGUGGGGUAACGGCCCACCAAGCCGAAGAUCCGUACGGGCUGUGGGAGCAGGAGCCCGGAGAUGGACCCUGAGACACGGGUCCAGGCCCUACGGGGCGCAGCAGGCGCGAAACCUCCGCAAUGCGGGAAACCGCGACGGGGUCAGCCGGAGUGCCCGUGCAUCGCACGGGCUGUCGGGGUGCCUAAACAGCACCCCAUAGCAAGGGCCGGGCAAGGCCGGUGGCAGCCGCCGCGGUAAGACCGGCGGCCCGAGUGGCGGCCACUCUUAUUGGGCCUAAAGCGUCCGUAGCCGGCCCAGUAAGUCCCCCGGGAAAUCUGGUCGCUUAACGAUCAGAUUCCCGGGGGAUACUGCUGGGCUAGGGACCGGGAGAGGCCGAGGGUAUUCCCGGGGUAGGGGUGAAAUCCUGUAAUCCCGGGAGGACCACCUGUGGCGGAAGGCGCUCGGCUGGAACGGGUCCGACGGUGAGGGACGAAGGCCUGGGGAGCGAACCGGAUUAGAUACCCGGGUAGUCCAGGCUGUAAACGAUGCGGGCUAGGUGUCACCGGAGCUACGAGCUCCGGUGGUGCCGGAGGGAAGCCGUUAAGCCCGCCGCCUGGGAAGUACGGCCGCAAGGCUGAAACUUAAAGGAAUUGGCGGG
rnacentral:rRNA from 1 species